rnacentral:rRNA from 1 species
GUCUGGAUUAGAGAACGAUUGAACGCUGGCGGACACAUGUCGAACGGCAUAUGGACUUCGGUCUGGUGGCGAGUGGCGAACGGUGAGUAGUACGUAUCGAACGCGCCCAGUAGCGGGGAUAACUACUUAAAGCGUAGCUAAUACCGUGGUCACGGCUCCUCAAAGCGACCUUUCGGGCCGUACUCAUUAGAGCGGGCCGAUAUCGGAUAGUUAGUUGGCGGGUAAUGGCUCACCAAGGCGACGAUCCGUAGCUGGUUUGAGAGGACGAUCGAGCCGAUCAAUCGAGACACGGCCCAGACUCCUACGGAGGCAGUAGUGGGGACUUGCGGACACGGGAAACCGAUCCAGCCAUCCUGCGUGCGAUGAAGGCUCAAGAGAAGACUCCUUGGGCAGGAGAAGAACGGUACGGAUACCUGCGUGAACCCUGACGAACAGAAUACACCGGCUAACCACGUGCCAGCAGCCGCGGUAAUACGUAGGGCGCGUUAACUGGAAAUUCAUUGCCGCGCGUGCGCAGGCGGUUCGAAAAAGAAAGAUGUGAAAUCCUGAUUAACUUCGAAAUGCAUUUUAACUACCGAUGAGCAGGCCGAGGGUGGAAUUUAUGUAGCAGUGGAAUGCUGCAGAUAUGCGGAGGAACACCGAUGGCGAAGGCAGCCCUGGAGAUACGACUGAUGUCACGUACGAAAGGGUGGGGAGCAAACAGGAUUAGAUACCCGGUAGUCCACGUGGCCUAUAACGAUGUCAACUAGUUGCUGGGGGCCUUCGGGGCCUUGGUAGCGCAGCUAACGUGAAGUUGACUGCCUGGGGGAGCACGGUCGCAAGAUUAAACCGUGCAGAAUCGACGGGGACCUGCACAAGCGGGUGGAUGAUGUGGAUUAACGGAUGCAACGCGAAAACCUUACCUACCCUGAUAUUGUUCAGAAAUCCCGGAAGAGAUUUGGGAGUGCUCGCAAGAGAACCGAAACACAGGUGCUGCAUGGCUGUCGUCAGCUCGUGUCGAGAUGUUGAAGUCCUGCAACGAGCGCAACCUGGUCACGAGUUGCUACGAAAGGGCACCCUAAUGAGACUGGACAGACAAACCGAGGAAGGUGAGCGACGUCAAGUCCUCAUGGCCUCAUGGUAGGGCUUCACACGUCAUACAAUGGCCGGGACAGUGGUCGCCAACCUGAGGAGCCAAUCCUGGCAACCCGAUCGAAGUUCCGGCUGCAGGACCGGCAACCCGACUGCGUGAAGUCGACCGCUGCACCGCGGACCGUGCGCGUCGCGGUGAAUAAUGUUCCCGGGUCUUUGUACACACCGCCUGUCACACCAUGGGAGUGGCUUUACCAGAAGUAGUUGAAGCUUAAUCAAGGAGGGCGAUUACCACUUAGAUUCAUGACUGGGGUGAAGUCGUAAUACAACCUACAUACUCGAUGCCCUAU